rnacentral:rRNA from 1 species
AUUAAAUGAGAGUUUGAUCCUGGCUCAGGACGAACGCUGGCGGCGUGCCUAAUACAUGCAAGUAGAACGCUGAAGACUUUAGCUUGCUAAAGUUGG